rnacentral:rRNA from 1 species
GACAGAGGUGCCGAGCGUUAGGCGGAAUCACUGGGCUUAAAGGGCGCGUAGGCGGUCUGCCAAGUCCGGGGUGAAAGCCCCCAGCUCAACUGGGGAAGUGCCUUGGAUACUGGCGGACUCGAGGGAGGCAGGGGUUGUGGGAACUUCCGGUGGAGCGGUGAAAUGCGUUGAUAUCGGAAGGAACGCCGGUGGCGAAAGCGCACAACUGGUCCUCUUCUGACGCUGAGGCGCGAAAGCCAGGGGAGCAAACGGG